GCGCUCGCUUUGGCAGCACAUAUACUAAAAUUGAAAUGAUACAGAGAUUAGCAUGGGUCCUGCACAAGGAUGACACAAAUUUGUAAAGUGUUCCAUAUUUUU
ensembl:snRNA U6 U6 spliceosomal RNA